GCGUGCUUACACAUGCAAGUCGAACGAUGAUCCCCAGCUUGCUGGGGGGAUUAGUGGCGAACGGGUGAGUAACACGUGAGUAACCUGCCCUUAACUCUGGGAUAAGCCUGGGAAACUGGGUCUAAUACCGGAUAUGACUCCUCAUCGCAUGGUGGGGGGUGGAAAGCUUUAUUGUGGUUUUGGAUGGACUCGCGGCCUAUCAGCUUGUUGGUGAGGUAAUGGCUUACCAAGGCGACGACGGGUAGCCGGCCUGAGAGGGUGACCGGCCACACUGGGACUGAGACACGGCCCAAACUCCUACGGGAGGCAGCAGUGGGGAAUAUUGCACAAUGGGCGCAAGCCUGAUGCAGCGACGCCGCGUGAGGGAUGACGGCCUUCGGGUUGUAAACCUCUUUCAGUAGGGAAGAAGCGAAAGUGACGGUACCUGCAGAAAAAGCGCCGGCUAACUAC
rnacentral:rRNA from 1 species